CUACAGGUUCGGCGCUUUUAUCCCGGCGUGAAAGUCUUCCAAGAUUCCAGCGGCCAAACGGGAUGAUCUCGUCCAGUCCCAGCGUGGAGAUCUUGCAUUCCAGCCUGGAAGAGUAGUCUCUUGGUGUACCGACCUUGCGCCAGAGGGGCAGUCUUGGCAGCCUGCAGGUGUGAAGGUCUUUUUAGCGGCAGCUUCCAGCAUUUUUGCUUUAGAAAAAAAAUCGACAUUCUCCGAACUGAAAUUGAUUUGAGCACUAAGCCUACAGAUCAGAAAAUAAUCUGAGAGUAACACCCACUGAUGGAUUGGAAAUAUUUCAUGUUUUUGUUUAGGUCAUCCCAAAUGUUUACAGCCAAUGGAGUACUGUUAAAAAGCAUGGUUGCCAAGAAUAUUUGGAAUGAAGGAUGGAUUCAAGAACUGCAUUGAUAAUUUGCAAGUGUUACUCCACUGCAAAAAAAAACAGGAAGGAAUGUGAAAUCAAGAAUUACAGAACUAUUACAUUCCAGUAACUCCUUUAAAAUUCCUGUUUACCUAUCACCAAAAACAGAUUGACUAUGUAUUUGGACAAGUAUCAGUUGAUUAAAGGAAAUAG